GGUGCGACAGUGGGUCUGGGGUCCCACGCAGCAUGACAAUGAGCCUGGGGUCACACUCAACCUGAGUCACCCCACCCUGCGUCACAGUGUCUCCCACUGAGGCCCCUCGGUCGCUCCCACUCGCCGUGCCCUCACCUAGUCAGGUCCCGCAGCCGCGCCUCCUCCCCGCGCAGCUCCUCGGAAUGCGUGGGGGCUUCCUGCAACAUCAGUCUCCGCCGCCCUCCACUAAAUCGCGACCCUGGGAAGGUGUUUCCACUGUGCCCAUCACACUGGGGGAAAUUGAGGCGGGGGCAGGGGACGUCCAGAAGAGUCAAUUAUGCGUAUGUGAAUAGGUGCGCAGGCAAAGAGCGGCAAGAGGACAGCUGGGAGGAAAACCCUCACAGAGAGCGUGACAUCUGAGCCAUCUGAAGGAUAAGUAGGACUCUGUCAGGAUUUGAGAAAACCAGUUUAUGGAAAUGAAGUGACUCAGCUGCAAGACGUAUCAUGCUGGCUUCAGCAGGUAGAGCUGAUGGGAGGAGGUAAGACAGGAAGGAACUGCAUAGUCCAGUAAAUUGCAACAGAAGGAACAGUGCAUCAGUUCUGAGCCUAGGUGUCCAGAGGCCUUGCAUGCUUUGGCUCUCUCUUUUGGGGCUCUGCCCAGGCACCCAGGGAACACCCUGGGCUAGCCUGCUGGGAUGUGAGAGAUCAUGUGCGGCAGUGCUCAGCCAACCCAGCCAAGGCCAUCAGAAAUUAGCCAGCACCCAGUCAACUUGGCAGCUGACCACCAACAGAGAAGUGGACUCACUCAAGACCAGAAGAAAUAUCCAGCUGACCUCAGUCAAAACUGCUAACCCACACAACAGAUUAAGAAGAACAACAUCCAUAAUGUCACAUACAAACCUGAUGUGAACCACAAGAUCCUGGUCUUCAAGCCUGAUGACAUAAUUGCAAGAGGUGUUUGGGGGUCUUGGAAUGGUGCAUCCCCCGUCAAGAGGUGGAGGGAGACUAUUUCUCCUCCCCUUAAACCUGAACUGACAUCAUGACAUUUUUGGCCAAUGGAAUGCAGCAGAGAGAUGGUACAAAUUCUCUGUCUAAGCCUCAACAUGCAUCGCACAUCUCAGCUCUUUCUUUUGAAGUCCUGUCCCACUACUCAUAUGAAAUGACCUGAGCUAGCCUGCUGGAGGACAAGAGAUCACAUGGAAUAGAGAUGAGCCGUCCCAGCGGAAGUUAUUCUACAUUAUCCAGGAACCAGCCAAUUUAGCAGCUGGCCUCAGAUCCAUGAAUAAACUCAGCCAAGACCAGGUGAACAACUCACCUGGGCUUAGCACAAAUGUUGACUUGCAGAAUUAUGAGCUAUAUAAAUACUUGCUAUU